rnacentral:lncRNA from 1 species
AUGGAGAGGGGCCGCGGGGCCGCGCUCGCGCGCUCCCGGCGGGGGGAAAGGGGGGGGGGGGCGCGCCUGGGAUGCUUGCCCCGGCCCCGCGCUUACCGUGUCCGCCCCGGGGAGCUCGGCCGUCCGGAGGAGAAGAAAAAGAAGAGGAGGAGGAGGAGGAGAGCAAGGCAGGUAGGAGCCGGGAGUCCCCGCCCGGGGGGCCGGCCGGAGGCGGGGCUGCGGGACAGGACGGGGCGGGGCUCCCUCCUCUUCCCUCCCUUUUUUUUUUUUUUUUUUCCCCCCCCUCCCCGCCCCCCCGCAGCCGGGCUGGGGAUGGAGAUGGGAAAGGGAAGACCCUCCCUCCGUCCGCCCCGCCGCCUUUUCCCACGCUCCGCUCCCGGCCGGUCCUGCCCCGCCCCGCCCCGCAUCUCCGGCGCAUGCGCGGACCCGCCCGCCCCGCUCAUCCCCCCUCCCCGGCCCCGGCCCCCCCCCCCCCAAUCGCCCUGGCGGCGCUGGGAGGGGGGAGGGGGAGGCGCUCAACGCCCUGAAACUCACCCUGUGCUAAGCACUGCGCCCCGGCGCACCCCCCCGGAGGACCGGAGGGAGCCGGCCCGGCGCCCCCUGGAGGACGGCAGGGGCAAGGCAGGCCACAGGCGCCCCAGCGCCCCCCGGAGGACGGUCGGAGGCGGGACGCGGCCCAGCGCCCCCUGGAGGACAACAGGGGAAAGAUGUCCGAGGAGUGCCUGCCUGCCUGCUGAACAAGAAAUCACUUCCUGCACCGCCAGCGAGUUGCUGAGGUUCUCUGAAAAGGAAGACCUGCAUUUGUUUAUGUGUGACCUGGGGAGAUCCAUGGCUUGACAAAGGAGCUGGAGAUUGCUGUGGGGUAAUCUAGAGAAGACAAAAGUGAAACUUACUGGAAGCCUGGUUUUCCAGCAGUGUAAAAUUACGGAUUUGUUGCCUGGAUGAGAGACUUUCCUGUGGAGUAAAGUAAUCUUCUCUCCAAAGUCAAGUCAUUCUUUCAAAGUUCUCUUGCUAGAAGAGAGUACCAG